CCCUUAGAUGUUCUGGGCCGCACACGCGCUACACUGAAGGAGGCAGCGUGUACUCCUGGAUCGAAAGAUUUGGGUAACCCGCGAAUCUCCUUCGUGCUAGGGAUUGAGGUUUGCAAUUAUCCUUCAUGAACGAGGAAUUCCCAGUAAGUGCAAGUCAUAAGCUUGCGCUGACUACGUCCCUGCCCUUUGUACACACCGCCCGUCGCUACUACCGAUUGAAUGAUUUAGUGAGGACUUCGGACUGGGACCGAUGCGGCUUUCGGGCUGCGUCGGUAUUCUGGAAAGAUGUCCAAACUGUAUCAUUUAGAGGAAGUAAAANUCGUAUCA
rnacentral:rRNA from 1 species